CCAGGCGACUGUUUACCAAAAACAAAGGUCUCCGCAAAGUCGUAAGACCAUGUAUGGGGGCUGACGCCUCCCCAGUGCCAGAAGGUUAAGGAAUUUGGUGACCUGAUGAUGGGGAAGCCAGCGACUGAAGCCCCAGUGAACGGCGGUCGUAACUAUAACGGUCCUAAGGUAGCGAAAUUCCUUGUCGGGUAAGUUCCGACCCGCAUGAAAAGCGUAACGAUCUGGGCACUGUCUCGGAGAGAGACUCGGUGAAAUAGACAUGUCUGUGAAGAUGCGGACUACCUGCACUUGGACAGAAAGACCCUAUGAAGCUUUACUGUUCCCUGGGAUUGUCUUUGGGUUCUUCUUGCGCAACUUAGGUGGAAGGCGAAGAAGGCUCCCUCUCGGGGGGGCCUGAGCCACCAGUGAGAUACCACUCUGGAAGAGCUUUACCACAUUUGAAAUUAACUUUUAGAUUUCCUCAGUUCUAUGUGCGUUUCAGCUGUUAGUGGGUUCAGUUGUUCGGGAGGAAGUUUUGGCAUCGCCUUUCGGGGUUCACCAACCACUUUGUGGCUGUGCUAGUAUGGUUAUCAAUUGAAGAUGUUGGAAUAUUUUUGGCCGU
rnacentral:ncRNA from 1 species